CCACUACCCAUGUUGAAGAUCACUCCAGAAUUUGUACAUUAGCUGAUAAAUAUGACCAGAAAGGACUGAGUGUUGAUGAGCGGCUGAUGGCAAUUGCUGGAACUCUUGACAAGAUAGCAGAGACCUUCAGGUAUAAGGAUAGCCUAGCAGCUGCUGAAAGCCCAGAUGCCAUGAAAGUAUCCAAUUCAAAUUUGACUGAAGAAUGUAAUGUUCUCUCGCCAAGGUUGAGUGAUUGGUCACGGAGAGGGUCAGAAGACAUGCUUGACUGUCUCCCAGAGACUGAUAAUUCAGUUUUUAUGGAUGAUAUGAGAGGUCUACCCUUAAUGUCUUGUAAAACCCGUUUUGGUUCCAAGUCUGAUCUAGGAGGCAUGGCAACUUCAUCUGCCAGCAGCAUGACUCCUAGAUCCCCGAUUCCAACCCCCAGACCUGACCCAAUUGAAAUGAUUCUAGGAGGCAAGGGUACAUUCCAUGAUCACGAUGACAUUCCACAGGUUUGUGAUGGUUGUGCUCCAUCUUCAUAAGUUUUCCUGUCUUUGUGAUUAAUUAUUCCCCUGAUAAAAAACUCUUGACAACCCAACGCAGAUGAGUGAACUCGCUGACAUUGCAAAAUGUGCAGCAGAUGCUAUUCCUGGUGAUGAGCAACCAAUUCCCUUUUUACUUUCUUGUCUUGAAGAUCUGAGGGUGGUCAUAGACCGCAGUAAGUUUGAAGCACUUACAGUAGAAACGUUUGGAACUCGCAUAGAAAAGUUGAUCCGGUAAGUUCCUUGGUGUUAUUAUUGUAUGAGAGAUUCUCUCGAGUCCCUCCCUCACUCUUCAUUAUGAUUUCCAGAAGUAUUAUCUGUUAAAAGUAUACUUUUCUUGAUUAUAUAGGGAGAAAUACUUGCAGAUCUGUGAGCUUAUGGAUGAUGAAAAAGUUGACUUAUCAAGCACUGUAAUUGAUGAAGAUGCUCCUUUAGAAGAUGAUGUUGCUCGAAACGUGCAUCCACGGGAUCGCACAUCCAUAGAUGAUUUUGAGAUCAUAAAACCAAUAAGUCGGGGAGCUUUUGGGAGAGUGUUUUUGGCUAAAAAGAGAACGACAGGAGAUCUAUUUGCAAUCAAGGUAAAAUAUAUUUUGCUUUACACAUCAUAAGUUUGGAUUGUUUAUUUUUUCCCUAAAAUAAUAUUUGAAAUUCGACACAAGAAAAUGAUAAACGUAACUCAAGAAAUUAAUUGUCGAUGAACAAGGUUUUGUAAUUCAUAAAAUCAAUGAUGAACAAAAAUAAUGCAAGUUAGAUAACAGCCGAAAUGAUAGAUUUGCUUGCCAGUAAAAUAGAUAAUUUCGCAUUCAGUUGUCAAAGAUGUAUAAUUAGUGAAAGACUCGUUGAUCAAAAUAAUAAUAAAAAUUAGCGAAAGACUGAAAGUAUGAAAUUGAGGUCUGUUGGAAAACAAUUUGAUAGAUAACGAAAGCUUUUAUGUAUCUGUUAAAAAUCUUAGUCAAAAGUCAAAAUCUAGUCUUAAGUCUUAAACAGGCUUUUUUGUUGGGACUAAAAAUCGACGGUGUCUACUACACACACUCGCGCUUUCUUUUCUUCCUCGUCUUUCAGCAGAGAGAUUGAAAAGUUGGGAGUGUGUAAAUGACAACGAGGUUUUUAGUCGUAAUGGUGAUUAGGUUGAGUUGAACAAAAUCGAAAAUGGUGUUCAAGAACAAGCUCUUCUUCUCAUCGAAGAAAUCCGGAUCGUCGAGCCCCGAUAGCUCCAACAGCCCCAGAUCCGACGGCUCCAAGGGCGAUAAUCCGAGCUCCGGAGUCGGGUGUAAGCAGGCGGAGAUUAAAGAUGGAUCGAAGAAGGGCAAGGGAAAGCAAGUUCCAUCUCCUCACUCGAUCGGCAAAUCGAACUUGUCUCCUAGCUCCGACGCGAAGGAAGGAGGAGGAGGACCUGCUUUCGUUUCUCCGAUCAUGGCUUCCUCUCUGGGCUUGAACCGGAUCAAGACGAGAUCCGGACCUUUGCCGCGGGAAAGUGUUUUCAAUUUUAGGAAGGAAGCUGGGAGUAUUAAGCUAGGGGUGGAUCGUGAUGGCUUGUCUCCUGAUGCUGGCCCAAUGAGGAGCCUCAGCCCUAAGUUGCCGCCGGCAUCAGGAUCUCGAUUGCAGAAUGUAGCAUCCUCAUCGGGAGCUGGUAUGUGCACAGAUGACUAACAACAUCUUAAAAUGCUAGGGAUUCGGUUGAUUUAAGAACGCAUUGAACUUGUAUGGCACCUGUUAUGUUAUGAGCAUAUUCGCUUGUAAGAUUUUUAUAAUUAUGCUAGUUUUAAGAAUCACCCGCCGCACUUCUGUUUUUCUGAACUGUUUCUUGAAUACUGUGUCUCUCCUGUUGAUUCUUAUGGUGCUACUUCGUGUAGGUCGCUCUGUGGCAUCUGGACGCUCUGGUCCUCUAAGAAAUUCAGACUUCUGCACCCCGGAGGUACUUUACUCUUUAUUACAUAUAUUUUUGAGGUAGUUUAGUUAUGCUAUAAGUUUUAAGUGAUCUUUUAUGACUUCUUUCUUAGAAUUCGUAUGAAUUGGAAAAUCCAAAAGAGUCAGAAUCACCGCGUUAUCAAGCCUUACUCCGUAUGACCAGUGCUCCGCGGAAGAGGUUUCCUGGUGACAUUAAAAGCUUCUCUCAUGAACUGAACUCAAAAGGUGUACGUCCCUUUCCAUUGUGGAAGCCUCGUAGGUCGAACAAUGUGGAGGUAGGUAUUCUAGACUCUGUUAUCUCUAUUAAUCCCUUGUGAGUUUUGCUCUAAUAGUCUGUCCUUUCCAGGAGAUAUUGGUUCUGAUUCGGGCAAAAUUUGAUAAAGCAAAGGAAGAAGUAAACUCUGACCUUGCCGUAUUUGCUGCGGACCUGGUGGGAGUUCUUGAGAAAAAUGCAGAAAGUCAUCCUGAGUGGGAGGAAACAUUUGAAGACUUGUUAAUAUUGGCUCGCAGUUGUGCUAUGACUUCUCCUGGAGAUUUCUGGCUUCAGUGUGAAGGUAUAGUUCAGGACUUAGAUGAUAGACGUCAAGAGCUCCCUCCGGGCGUUCUCAAGCAGCUUCAUACUCGGAUGCUUUUUAUACUUACCAGAUGUACAAGAUUGCUUCAGUUUCAUAAGGAAAGUUGGGGAGAAGAGGAACAAGCUGUACAACUACGUCAGUCAAGAGUUUUGCAUUCUAUAGAAAAAUUACCUCCUACUGGAGCGGGAAGGAGUUCAAGUGCUGCAAAAAUCUUAAAGAUACCAUCAUCUACCAAGAAAGCUUUUAGUCAGGAACAGCGUGGUUUGGAGUGGAAGGGGGACGUUGUUGUACGCUCGGUUCCUCCUAUCUCUCCUCCCGAAAAUUAUGUUCCUAAUGAAUCUGAAUCUCCUGCAAACAUCGAUAGAAUGUCUUCCUGGAAGAAACUUCCAUCCCCAGCACUGAAAACUGUGAAAGAAGCGCCAGCAUCAGAAGAGCAGAAUGAUAUCAAACUUGAACCUCCAAAUAUGGUUAGAAAUGGACAACCUAGUGAUGAUACUGCUGUUUCUGUUCUAAACUGCCCGCCAGCAAAAGAUUCUCAUGAACAGUCGCCCAAGCAUCGGCACAAUAUUUCUUGGGGUUACUGGGGGGAACAGCCACUUAUCUCGGAGGAAAGUUCAAUAAUGUGCCGUAUCUGUGAGGAGGAAGUUCCCACUACCCAUGUUGAAGAUCACUCCAGAAUUUGUACAUUAGCUGAUAAAUAUGACCAGAAAGGACUGAGUGUUGAUGAGCGGCUGAUGGCAAUUGCUGGAACUCUUGACAAGAUAGCAGAGACCUUCAGGUAUAAGGAUAGCCUAGCAGCUGCUGAAAGCCCAGAUGCCAUGAAAGUAUCCAAUUCAAAUUUGACUGAAGAAUGUAAUGUUCUCUCGCCAAGGUUGAGUGAUUGGUCACGGAGAGGG
rnacentral:lncRNA from 1 species